rnacentral:rRNA from 1 species
CCUACGGGGGGCUGCAGUGGGGAAUUUUGGACAAUGGGGGCAACCCUGAUCCAGCCAUUCCGCGUGAGUGAAGAAGGCCUUCGGGCUGUAAAGCUCUUUUGUCCGGAGCGAAACGGGCGGCCCUAAUACGGUCGUCUACUGACGGUACCGGAAGAAUAAGCACCGGCUAACUACGUGCCAGCAGCCGCGGUAGUACGUAGGGUGCGUGCGUUAAGUGGAAUUACUGGAGGUGGUGUGUGCGCCGGCGGGUGAAAUGCCCGGGCUCAACCUGGGAAUGGCAUUUGGGACUGCAAGGCUGGAGUGUGGCAGAGGGGACUAGAAUUCCUGGUGUAGCAGUGAAAUGCGUAGAUAUCAGGAGGAAUACCGAUGGCGAAGGCAGGUCCCUGGGUUAACACUGACGCUCAUGCACGAAAGCGUGGGGAGCAAACAGGAUUAGAUACCCUAGUAGUC